rnacentral:rRNA from 1 species
GAUGAACGCUCGCUACAGGCUUAACACAUGCAAGUCGCGGGGCAGCAUGGGGGUUGCUUGCAAUCCCCGAUGGCGACCGGCGCACGGGUGAGUAACGCGUAUCCAACCUGCCCUUCACCACGGGAUAACCCGGCGAAAGUCGGACUAAUACCGUAUGUUGUCCAUUGACGGCAUCCGAUUUGGACGAAAGGCUUGGCGGUGAGGGAUGGGGAUGCGUCCGAUUAGCCAGACGGCGGGGUAACGGCCCACCGUGGCUACGAUCGGUAGGGGUUCUGAGAGGAAGGUCCCCCACACUGGAACUGAGACACGGUCCAGACUCCUACGGGAGGCAGCAGUGAGGAAUAUUGGUCAAUGGGCGUAAGCCUGAACCAGCCAAGUAGCGUGCAGGAUGACGGCCCUAUGGGUUGUAAACUGCUUUUAUGCGGGGAUAAAGUGGCCCACGUGUGGGCUUUUGCAGGUACCGCAUGAAUAAGAACCGGCUAAUUCCGUG